UGGAUUGAGACAACGUACAAACCUUAUCGAUAAACAAUUGGAGGGCAAGUCUGGUGCCAGCAGCCGCGGUAAUUCCAGCUCCAAUAGCGUAUAUUAACGUUGUUGCAGUUAAAAAGCUCGUAGUUGAAAUGAAGGGUAGUUGUGUAAUGAAUACAUUCGUGUAUUUUGUUAUUCAACUACCCUCCUUCUAAAUUCGAUAUAUGAGUAUUAAUUUACUUGUAUAUGGUUUUAGACGUUUACUGUGAGAAAAUUAGAGUGUUCAAAGCAGGCAUUUGCUUGAAUAUAUUAGCAUGGAAUAAUCAUGUAUGAUUUUCAUGAUGUAUUUGAUUGGUUUGGUUCAUGAGAAUAAGAUUAAAAGGGACAGUUGGGGGUAUUCAUAUUCAAUAGUCAGAGGUGAAAUUCUCGGAUUUAUGGAAGAUGAACAAGUGCGAAAGCAUUUACCAAGGAUGUUUUCAUUAAUCAAGAACGAAAGUUAGGGGAUCGAAGAGGAUUAGAUACC
rnacentral:rRNA from 1 species